GCAGAGAUGCUUUGGUGCCUUCGGGAACUGUGAGACAGGUGCUGCAUGGCUGUCGUCAGCUCGUGUUGUGAAAUGUUGGGUUAAGUCCCGCAACGAGCGCAACCCUUAUCCUUUGUUGCCAGCGGUUAGGCCGGGAACUCAAAGGAGACUGCCAGUGAUAAACUGGAGGAAGGUGGGGAUGACGUCAAGUCAUCAUGGCCCUUACGACCAGGGCUACACACGUGCUACAAUGGCAUAUACAAAGAGAAGCGACCUCGCGAGAGCAAGCGGACCUCAUAAAGUAUGUCGUAGUCCGGAUUGGAGUCUGCAACUCGACUCCAUGAAGUCGGAAUCGCUAGUAAUCGUAGAUCAGAAUGCUACGGUGAAUACGUUCCCGGGCCUUGUACACACCGCCCGUCACACCAUGGGAGUGGGUUGCAAAAGAAGUAGGUAGCUUAACCUUCGGGAGGGCGCUUACCACUUUGUGAUUCAUGACUGGGGUGAAGUCGUAACAAGGUAACCGUAGGGGAACCUGCGGUUGG
rnacentral:rRNA from 1 species